AUGUUACUAGUAAAAGCUGAACAAUGAUUUUCAGGUGCCAUUAUAGGCCCUAUUAUUAGAAUGGUAGAUUGUUUGCAAGUGUUCUAGAUCAGUGUUCUUCAGACCUUCAACAGACCUGGAUUUCAAGAUCUCUCCAAAGAGGGGCAACCCAGGGGCGAAUGCUAGGGACAUCCAUGCCUCCAAACUGUCCCGAUAUUUGGGCCAUGUCCUGCCG